rnacentral:tRNA from 1 species
GUUUUCGUAGUGUAGUGGUUAUCACGUGCGCCUCACACGCGCAAGGUCCCCGGUUCGAGCCCGGGCGGAAACA